rnacentral:lncRNA from 1 species
CGGGAUACUCUCCAAAUGGCAAUCUUCCCAAUUAUGUCUCCUAUAUCUCCGAGAUAUCCUUCCAUACUUACCCUUCCGAGGAUCUCGCCGUGAUCCAUGGGCACGGCCCAUUACUCCGUCUAUAAAAAGGUCGCUCCCCAUUAAACAAAGGUACGCUCUAACACGCUGAACACACCACAAUUCUCUUCAGAGCUAUUUUACCCACUGUUACCGCUUUGGUCUGAUCUCCACGCCGGAGGGGUUUUGAGCGGCCUCGCCCCGGCCGUUUACUUUUGUUCGUCUGUGCAGGUCGCCCUUCAAAUAUCCGAGGUCCAGUGCCGAGGAAACCGAGCAAUAGUGACUGUUGGUUGCUCGCCCCAAUUUUUUACCACAACAGAACCAAUCCCAACAGGAUUUGCAUAGGCAUUUACCAAGGGAAAGGAAAAGUUGAGAAGACAAUGAAGUCAAAACUCCGGGUUUUAAUUUUCCCAACUAAUUUCCUUUCCUUUGAUGAUGCCCUUCACAAAGCUGUGAUGUAAAAAGAAAGUUGAAGUAUAUAUGAGGAUGUCAUUUAUGCCAUAUGCAGGGGUUAGCAAGAAAACUGAUUCAACUGCAAAACCGAACUAAACCGCGUGGCUUGAUCUAGUUUUUUUACUAGAAAGGAUUGGUUUUUAAGGUCAUGGUUUGGGUUUUAAACCGAAUCGUGAUUCUAUAAUUUAUGCAGAAUAUUACAUACAAUAUAUGAAUAUCACAUAUAAAUAUCAGAUGUUUCGUACACUGGAAAAACUUAUACUUUUGAGUUUAUUAGUAUGAUGUUUUUAUUCCAAAAAAAUGAACUGUAUUGGUCUAGAUAUAUAUGCAUUCUUGAAAUAUUUUAAUGAUAAAAGGGAUAUUUUUGGAACCGUAAAACCAAAUUAAACUGCAAUAUUCUACGGUUCGAUCUGGUUCCAUUUCACAGUUCUAAUUAUGAAUUGAUUUGGUUUUCAAUUUCGUUUAACUGUUGGGAGCAGUUUGGUUCAUGAUUUUCACUGAGACCACACCAAGCCGAACUGUGAACGGUAUUCAUAUCCUUCAUUGUGCUAUUGUAAAAGUUGUUUCCCAGUCUCUUUGUUUUCCUCUCUAUUUUCUUAUUGACAAAUUCCUUUAUCCAAUCUGUGGUAAAUUAUAUAUCAAUGUUAUAGAAACAAUAAGUUUUUUGUCAUCCUUUCACUAUUAAUGGAAUGCUCUUGUUUCCUUAAUCUGUAUUUGAUGUUAUCAUCGGUAUUUGCGGUGAGUUUUAAUUAAGAAUUUGAGCUAAUUAUUCUCUUUCAUGUUACGCGAAGCACACCGUUGGAUUCACAAUGCUCAUCAGGUGUCUAAUGUUUCAUUGGGAGAAAAUGUAAGAGCAAGAAUUAAGCAGUUCUCACUGGUGAACAAGUUCAAGAAGAAAGUACUCAGAGUAAGUAAUUAAAUUAAUUAAGGUUUCCUAAUAAAUUUGGAUCAUAAACAAAUCAUCCAUUAAUUUUUAUGUUUUUGUUUUGUUUUUAGGUGGUGGCAGACAGUUUGCCACAAGAACAAAUUUCAGGGAUCAAACAGAUGUUCCACGUGAUGGACACUGACAAAAAUGGAAACUUGACAUUUGAAGAGCUAAAAGAUGGCCUCCAAAUGAUAGGCCAACCCGUCGCCGACCCUGAUGUGCAGAUGUUAAUGGAUGCUGUGAGUUUUUCCUUUUCAGAACUUAAAACCUAUAAAAGUUUCCAAAAACGAAGUCUAUGGUAUCGAUUCAAAUUUUUGUUCCAAGAAUGAAUCGAGUUUCCUUUACUCUGAGUGUUUUCUAGUUACAUUUAGAUCUCACAUAAAUGCUUAAAUACCAACAGAAAUGUAUUGUAAGCAUGUUAUGGAACAAAAGGCUUUAAGAUCAUGUUUGAAUCGAAGCACAAUAUGUGCUCUUACUAAACCACUAUAUGCUAAAUUGAGAGAAGAUUGUGUUCCAAUAGUAAUGUGAACUAAGUUUAUGUCUUUAUUUUAUUUAUGCAUAUAUACUUGAAGAAGAAGUUCACGAAUCACUCCUCAUAAACUCCAUAUGCAAAUCCCAUACAUAUCUUUAUAAUUUUCUUUACCACCAUCAAUUUUUUUUCCUCGUUAUCUUUAGAACUUUUUGAUGUUUUGUCCAAUGAUGGACCUAAGGAGGGCGACCACCACCUCAAAAUUUUCAAAAAAUAUCAGUUUUAUAGUUGCAUUAGCUCUAAAUAUUUUUAAAUUAUAUAGAUUCGUAACCCCAAGGACGUUAAAAAUAAGUAUUGUAUUUUUAUGCUUUAAGUUAUGAAUGACAUACUUUGUAUGUACAUUCGGCUUUUCAAAAUUCAAAUUUUGCGUUCGUCCUUAGUUUUAUCCAAAAAGGCUUGAUGUUGAUGGGAAUGGAAACAUUGCUUCUCAUUAACGAAGACCAUUUUGGUGUUUUGUCCAAAAAAGGCUAGCGGUGAUGGGAAUGGAAUGAAUUUUUCUCACUAUCCAAGAAACUUUUUGUUGUUUUGUCGAAAAA